rnacentral:tRNA from 1 species
GCCGAGGUGGUGAAAUUGGUAAACACGCUAUCUUGAGAGGGUAGUACUGAAUAAGUAUAUGGGUUCAAGUCCCAUCCUCGGCA